GAUGAACGCUGGCGGCGUGCCUAAUACAUGCAAGUCGAGCGAACGGACGAGAAGCUUGCUCCUCUGAUGUUAGCGGCGGACGGGUGAGUAACACGUGGAUAACCUACCUAUAAGACUGGGAUAACUUCGGGAAACCGGAGCUAAUACCGGAUGAUAUUUUGAACCGCAUGGUUCAAAAGUGAAAGACGGUCUUGCUGUCACUUAUAGAUGGAUCCGCGCUGCAUUAGCUAGUUGGUAAGGUAACGGCUUACCAAGGCAACGAUGCAUAGCCGACCUGAGAGGGUGAUCGGCCACACUGGAACUGAGACACGGUCCAGACUCCUACGGGAGGCAGCAGUAGGGAAUCUUCCGCAAUGGGCGAAAGCCUGACGGAGCAACGCCGCGUGAGUGAUGAAGGUCUUCGGAUCGUAAAACUCUGUUAUUAGGGAAGAACAUAUGUGUAAGUAACUGUGCACAUCUUGACGGUACCUAAUCAGAAAGCCACGGCUAACUACGUG
rnacentral:rRNA from 1 species